rnacentral:rRNA from 1 species
GACGAACGCUGGCGGCGCGCCUAACACAUGCAAGUCGAACGAGCGAGAGAGAGCUUGCUUUCUUGAGCGAGUGGCGAACGGGUGAGUAACGCGUGAGGAACCUGCCUCAAAGAGGGGGACAACAGUUGGAAACGACUGCUAAUACCGCAUAAGCCCACGACCCGGCAUCGGGUUGAGGGAAAAGGAGGAAUCCGCUUUGAGAUGGCCUCGCGUCCGAUUAGCUAGUUGGUGAGGUAACGGCCCACCAAGGCGACGAUCGGUAGCCGGACUGAGAGGUUGAACGGCCACAUUGGGACGGCGACACGGCCCAGACUCCUACGGGGGGCAGCAGUGGGGAAUAUUGCACAAGGGGGGAAACCCUGAGGCAGCGACGCCGCGUGGAGGAAGAAGGUCUGCGGAUUGUAAACUCCUGUUGUUGAGGAAGAUAAUGACGGUACUCAACAAGGAAGUGACGGCUAACUACG